GAUGAACGCUGGCGGCGUGCCUAAUACAUGCAAGUCGAGCGAACAGACGAGGAGCUUGCUCCUCUGACGUUAGCGGCGGACGGGUGAGUAACACGUGGAUAACCUACCUAUAAGACUGGGAUAACUUCGGGAAACCGGAGCUAAUACCGGAUAAUAUAUUGAACCGCAUGGUUCAAUAGUGAAAGACGGUUUUGCUGUCACUUAUAGAUGGAUCCGCGCCGCAUUAGCUAGUUGGUAAGGUAACGGCUUACCAAGGCAACGAUGCGUAGCCGACCUGAGAGGGUGAUCGGCCGCACUGGAACUGAGACACGGUCCAGACUCCUACGGGAGGCAGCAGUAGGGAAUCUUCCGCAAUGGGCGAAAGCCUGACGGAGCAACGCCGCGUGAGUGAUGAAGGUCUUCGGAUCGUAAAACUCUGUUAUUAGGGAAGAACAAAUGUGUAAGUAACUAUGCACGUCUUGACGGUACCUAAUCAGAAAGCCACGGCUACCUACGUG
rnacentral:rRNA from 1 species